rnacentral:misc_RNA from 1 species
GUGAAUCAUCGAAUUUUUGAACGCAAAUUGCACUCUCUUCGGAGAGUAUGCGUGUUUGAGGGUCAGCCUAAAAAAAACUCGACAUCGUGGCUGUUUCGCGGUGACUUUCGUCGGAACUUGGGUCAUCUUAAACCUUUGGGGUUUAAGCGGCUUAAAAUUUUCUUUCCGAUUCCACGAACGUUUCUAAGAUUUACUUCUUAUACGUCUUAG